CCCGCCUGAAGAUUUGAGUGCGUGGUUCCGGCCCUUCUGCCUGGAGUGUCCUUGGAUUCUGGGAAAUACACCUGACUAGGCCCCAGGGUCACGAUAGAUAUGGGAGUGAAGGUUCUGGACCACAGAGGAGAAGUUAACUGUGACUGGAGAGCCAAGGAGGGCUUGAUGGACAAGGAACCAUCUGGAUUGGGUCUUGAAGGCAAUAAACAAAAAAUCCUCAUCAACACUGUGCUCCAAUGGGCACUGCCUAUCGACUGGAGAAGGGAGCAGCGUGGCCAACAGCCUCCGGACUGGCAGCGUGUGUUCAGGCUUCCCUGGGAGGCCCAGGCCCCAUUCUUGCCACAGAGACCACCCCAGAGGCCUCGGGGAGGACAGGCUUCUUUACCAUGUCAAGUGGUUAUUUCCACAUUGACCCAUUUGACUCUGUAAAUCACUUUCUUGAAUGCGAGAUAGUAA